UACGAGGGGUGCUAGCGUUAUUCGGAAUUACUGGGCGUAAAGGGUGCGUAGACGGCAUGCUAAGUCUGUUGUUAAAUCCUCCGGCCUAACCGGAGAAUCGCAGUGGAAACUAGCAAGCUAGAGAGUGAGAGAGAGAAGUGGAAUUCUUGGAGUAGCGGUAAAAUGCGUAGAUAUCAAGAGGAACACCAAUGGCGAAGGCAGCUUCUUGGCUCAUUUCUGACGUUGAGGCACGAAAGCGUGGGGAGCAAACAGGAUUAGAUACCCCUGUA
rnacentral:rRNA from 1 species